rnacentral:rRNA from 1 species
GUUAAGUGACGAAGCGUAUACGGUGGAUGCCUUGGCAGUUAGAGGCGAUGAAGGACGUGUAAGUCUGCGAAAAGCUGUGGUGAGCCGACAAAAUGCAUUUGAGCCACAGAUGUCCGAAUGGGGAAACCCACCUAUUUAUAGGUAUCGUUAACUGAAUACAUAGGUUAACGAGGCAAACGAGGGGAACUGAAACAUCUAAGUACCCUUAGGAAAAGAAAUCAACCGAGAUUCCCCUAGUAGCGGCGAGCGAACGGGGAGCAGCCCUUAAGCUGUUUAGAAUUUAGUGGAAUCCUUUGGGAAGAGGAGCGAUACAAGGUGAUAGCCCUGUACACGACGGAUUCUUUACAGUGAAAUCGAGUAGGUCGGGACACGUGUUAUCUUGACUGAAUAUGGGGGGACCAUCCUCCAAGGCUAAAUACUCCUAACUGACCGAUAGUGAACCAGUACCGUGAGGGAAAGGCGAAAAGAACCCCUGUGAGGGGAGUGAAAUAGAACCUGAAACCGUAUACGUACAAGCAGUGGGAGCCACUUCGUGUGGUGACUGCGUACCUUUUGUAUAAUGGGUCAGCGACUUAUAUUUAGUAGCA